UACGAAGGGGGCUAGCGUUGCUCGGAAUCACUGGGCGUAAAGCGCACGUAGGCGGCUUCUUAGGUCAGGGGUGAAAUCCUGGAGCUCAACUCCAGAACUGCCUUUGAUACUGAAGAUCUUGAGUCCGGGAGAGGUGAGUGGAACUCCGAGUGUAGAGGUGAAAUUCGUAGAUAUUCGGAAGAACACCAGUGGCGAAGGCGGCUCACUGGUCCGGUACUGACGCUGAGGUGCGAAAGCGUGGGGAGCAAACAGG
rnacentral:rRNA from 1 species